AUGAAAAUGAAGGUCUCUGCUCAAUUCCUGGGGCUAAUGAUGCUCUUGCUUCCAAGUGCCAGAUGUGAUGUUCAGGUUACCCAGUCUCCAUCCUUCCUGUCUGCAUCUCUGGGAGACAGAAUCACUCUCACUUGUAGAGCAAGUCAGAAUAUUAACAACAAGAUGGCUUGGUACCAACAGAAACCAGGGGAAGUUCCUAAGCUCCUGAUCUAUUAUGCAUCAACUUUACAAUCAGGAAUUCCCUCCAGGUUUAGUGGCAGUGGGUCAGGAACAGAUUUUUCUUUUACCAUUAGCAGCCUGGAACCUGAAGAUACAGCAACUUAUUACUGUCUACAAAGCAACAGUUUUCUUGAGACAUUUUUGUAUGUAUUUGUUUAUAUUUAUGUCUAUCUUAAAGAUUCAACCACAUAUUACUGGCCUGUGUCUAUAAUUUUACUUUAUGACCCCCAAUAUCUCUUGUUCUAUUUUGCUCUGGAAGCAGCCGCCUCUCAGCAAGAAGAGAUUUGUUGGUUAUAG